rnacentral:rRNA from 1 species
GAUGAACGCUGGCGGCGUGCCUAAUACAUGCAAGUCGAGCGAACAGAUGAGGAGCUUGCUCCUCUGACGUUAGCGGCGGACGGGUGAGUAACACGUGGAUAACCUACCUAUAAUACUGGGAUAACUUCGGGAAACCGGAGCUAAUACCGGAUAAUAUAUUGAACCGCAUGGUUCAAUAGUGAAAGACGGUUUUGCUGUCACUUAUAGAUUGAUCCGCGCCGCAUUAGCUAGUUGGUAAGGUAACGGCUUACCAAGGCAACGAUGCGUAGCCGAACUGAGAGGGUGAUCGGCCACACUGGAACUGAGACACGGUCCAGACAACUACGGGAGGAAGCAGUAGGGAAUCUUCCGCAAUGGGCGAAAGCCUGACGGAGCAACGCCGCGUGAGUGAUGAAGGUCUUCGGAUCGUAAAACUCUGUUAUUAGGGAAGAACAAAUGUGUAAGUAACUAUGCACGUCUUGACGGUACCUAAUCAGAAAGCCACGGCUAACUACGUG